CGAAGACGCCACAUACCCGCCCGCGCACCCACUCGCGUCAAUCACGCCCCCUUCUCCUUCCCCGCCGCAUGCCUGCUCCUAAUCCCGGAUCCCCUCCGCAGAACCCAUCCAUCUCACUGCCUCCACAUUGGUGGCAAUCCAGGAAGACAUAGUUGCGGUGGCGGCGCACCGCCUUGCUGCCUCCCUCCUCCAUCCGCAUCAGCCCAUCCAUCUGCUUCGCUUUUUGUGGCGGCGGCGGUCCUUGGAACCAGGAGGCGGCGGCUAUGUCGCGGACGGGCACAGAGGGACUGCAGCGAUGCGCUGGCGCUUCCAUCUGGCUCCAGCCUCCCCUCCCCAUCCACGUCGCCCUUUUCUCCUUCGCCCCACGAGCGUGCCUUCAAGACGCCUGAUGUCUGCAACGCGGCGCGCGACAGCGUCGUCCAGGUGCUCCGCUAGGAGCCCCUUGCCAACAUCGCGGCUUCCUUGCUGCGGGGUUCGUGGAGACCCACGGGGCCAGCUCCGCUACAUGCGUAAGGCCCUCUCCGGGCUCCUCGUCAACGGCAUCGCGGCGUCCGGCCGUUGCAUCCACGAGCGUGAGCAUGAGGACAUCACCACGCGAGCAGGGGGUAGGGGCAGCAGGUUCUGGUCUUCUGGAGGUGUCUUCCAUCGGUGGAGCAAAAGAAGCAGGCCCACAAUGUCAUAUGCAGUGAAUAGGAACGCAGACGUGUGCUGUUGUUACAAAUCUUUAUAAGAGAAGAGAUUUCUCCUCCAACAUUGAUGCGAGUGGUAGAAAAAAUGCAUUCCAGAAAUGUCGAUGGUUUCUAUGAAGAGCAGCCCAUGAUGGUGGGACAAGAUAAUAUGUUAAGCUAGAUUGGGUGUCAACCUAAUGGGACACUGGCUCCGAUGUCAAGAAGUGAACCCAACUGAUCAAAACUGAAGUUUUUAAUCGGGAUAUAGGUUAAUCUCUGGUUUGUCAUUCAUCUAUAUCUAUCUAUCGCCGCGUGGCCUCCUCCAGCGAGGCUUCGGCGUCCGCGACGACCUCCCCAUCAACGUAUUUUACGCCAAAUCCAUCCUGCAGCGUGCUCCUCCACUUCCUGGUUGAUGAAUUGUUAGUGUCACCAGUGUAUCCAGUGAUACUUGCUAAAGGCCGGCCUAAUAUGGUGGUGGUCAGAUUGAUUCAUUGACCUGCAGUUAUCUUCAUGCUUGCUGAUAGUCAAGGGGUUGCUCAGGCAUAGUGUACUAUGGGUGUAAAUUUCAAUGGUACGUAAUUUAUAAAGUGAGCCUCACUCUCUUUAACUCUGAAGUAUUCUUGCAGGACCAUGCAGACUGCAGUGGAUAUUUUGGGUAGUAAAAAUUAUACUAAUGGAACAUUUCAUUACCUGCACCUUCACUAACGGUGGUGUCAGGGUGUACAAUCUGAACCAUCAAUUUGGUAUUUUUCCUCCAGAAAUUGAAUUUCAAAAUAUUUUAUUAUGGAUAUAUUUAAUUGGGAUAAUACAAGCAUGUCUGAAAUCUGAGCAACUGAAUCUCUAGCUCAUCUGAAAAGCUGCUGCUAUUCAAUAAGUAUAAGCCAUAACUCUUACAUUGUACUUAAAGCAUUUCACUAGCUUUUCUGGAGGAAAGAGGCUUCACUUUUCUGAGUUCAUCACUAUUUUUUUUCUCUGUUUUCAUCCUGCUUAUCAAGGAAUCUAUUCCUGUUGCCAUAAGAUUUGAGUAGCAUUCUUUUAUAAAUUAUAUGAACUGUAUUGAAAGAUUGCUCAGCCAGUACAUGAAAGAUUGCUGAAGCAUUCUUUUAUAAACUUAUUUGUUAAGCAUUUUCCGGUGAUGUAGGGUUGCAGAAUAUAGUUUGUUGUAAACUUUACCGGCUUUAAUGCCUUCAUCGAAUGCAACAGCACAGGAUAUAAUGUGAUUUCUAUAUUUUUUUUUCCUGAAACAAUGGUGCUCGAAUAAAAAAUAGUGUGGUGUAUUCUAUUGUAGCACCUAAACAGUUCAAAUGAUGGUUACAAUUAAUUUGUUAUUACUGUUCAAUGCACAUUCCUAGGCCAAUCAAUAAAUUUAACCAGUUUACUUUUGUUUCCUUCAAAGGCUGGACAGAAAAAGCAUUGUUUGGUACUUUUUACUGAAAUGUGGUCUGGUGGAAACCGGAGACUAUCGGACUUGAGGCCUUAGAUUAUUGGAAAUUUAUGUAUAUUGGAUUCUUUUAGUAGCCUAUUGAGAAAGUCUUUUUGAUAUAUUUUUUGUCAGUCAUACAACAUCUAAAACUUGUCUGAUUUAAGUAUUUCAAGUAUUGAAUCCUCUAUGGAGAGCUCAUGCCUCUAUAGUUGAACAAGUUGGUUCAAUAGAUUGCGUGAUGGGUUAUUUAGACUUAUUAGAUUGCCAUAAUUAUUGAGUAAACAACAUUUAUUUUCUACAAUGUAAACACUUAGAUAAUGGCAAGUUUUACUUGAUCUGUGCCGAUAGUAAUAUUCGCAUCCUGUAUCGGUACUGCAUAGAUGAAAAAGUGAUAUAAGCCAUGUAUAGGAUUCUAGCAAAAGAGGAUGCCCAAUUUGUCUUCCUGAUUGAUCUCCCUCGAAUUAGGACGCCAUGGGACUCUUAAAGGAUGUCAGGUAACAAAGGUUAUGCCACUUUAAAAAUACCGAGUUGACUAGAUUAGUGUCUGUAGUCUUAUGUUUUUUUAUUGCUGUACCCAGUUAUGUGUUUCCUUGGGGACUACCAGAGGGUCAAGAACGUGUACAACUGAGACAAGGUUUGGAGCUACUGCCAAGACAAGAUAUUACAUUACAGAAUGCUUACUAAGUUACUAUUUAAUUACAAUUAAUGGUGGGAGAAACGUUGGUUCCCAGUAUUCCAGUAUGACCCCUUUAUUAUGUUUGGCAGCCUGCCAGCUUAUGUAUGGUACUUUUUUGAUGCCACUAAUAGGUUAUGCCUGUAAUUUGAAUUGGAGAUGCCACUUCAUUGUGUUUUCAGCUUCUUUCAGACUCACUCGAAAGUGUUACAUAUUAGUAGGAUUGGAUAUAUAUAUACUUUCUGCAAAUUACAAUGGAAGGAAACACUGGUCUAUGAAAGCAAGGAAUUUAUGGAGUUUUGAAGUACAUUGGGGCGAGAGAAGAGCACGACAAGCACAAAGGGUUGUUCACUAAGCUCUGGGACAAUAGAGCAGGAGGACGCUGGCGACGGCGCCACGCAGUGCGGGCCGACCAGCGCCUGCACGUGGUGGAGCACCUUGGCUGCCGCGCACUCGCCGCAGGGGUCGUGAAGGCCGCCAAGCCCGCGUGGCCGCGCCGCCUUCGCCGGGAGGGAACUUGCCUUCGGUGGCCUUGACGGCGAAGGCGAUGGAGAGGCCGGAGAGCGGGAGGAGGCCGGAGACGUCGCGAGGGGGCCCGGCCGCCGCUCGCGCCAGGCCAGGUUGCGACAUAUGUUAUGACAUAUUUUGUAUUCUAUAAACUUAUUAUUUAUUAUUGUAUUUUAG